GGGGAGAGGGGGGGGUGUGGGGGGGGAAGGAGGGAGAGGAAGAGGGGAGUGGAACACAAAGAUGGCUGAGUCCUAAUGACAUUACGAAAAAGUUAUGAAAUUGUUAAAGUCGGUGCCAAUGCAUGCAUUUCAAUGAGUUGUGUAAACUCAAGAACUAGAAAAGAUGUAUCUCAAUCACAAGGUAAACAAACCAACUAGCACAAAAAUAACAAUAAAACAAGAAAAAACAAAAGCAAGAUAGCAAUCUUGGCUUCCAGAGAAUAAUCUAACAUACUUGUGUUGCAACUCAUUUUUAG
rnacentral:misc_RNA from 1 species